UACGGGGGAGCAAGCGUUGUUCGGAUUUACUGGGCGUAAAGGGCGCGUAGGCGGCCACCGCAAGUCGACUGUGAAAUCUCCGGGCUUAACUCGGAAAGGUCAGCCGAUACUGCGGGCUAGAGUGCAGAAGGGGCAACUGGAAUUCCCGGUGUAGCGGUGGAAUGCGUAGAGAUCGGGAAGAACAUCAGUGGCGAAGGCGAGUCCUGGACAACACCUGACACUGAGGCACGAAAGGCCGGGGAGCAAACAGG
rnacentral:rRNA from 1 species